rnacentral:lncRNA from 1 species
AUGUCUGUAAGGUGCUUAACCCUUCUGCUAAGCCUGUAUCUGUCCUUUCAAAAAGCAUGGACAGACACUUCUCUCGAAGUGACCUCUGGUCUGCAGUACAGCUUUAAAGAUCCAGACUCAGUUACUGUUAUAUGCGAGUAUAAUUGGGAGAAAGGCUGGGAAGUUGCUGUAAAGCUCAAAGCUAACAACAAUGUAGUUUGUGAGACAUCUCAAAAAAGAAGAGACUGGUCUCAAGAAGGCAACCAGACCAAGUUCCACCUGAAAAAUGUUACUUCUGACCAGAAAAAACUCUCCUACACAUGUGAGGUUUUUCGACAUCACCCUCUUCCAAUACUCAAGGGAGAAGGGCAUGCAUUCAGGUUCUUUCCAGAAUCGCACAUUCUUCCCAAUAUUCCGUGUAACAGCACGGAGACUACCAUUGUCAUCCCCCCUCCUGAGAUUCCCUGCCGUCCCAACACUCUCAUCUGGGCCUGGGCUCUGAUCGGUCUGAUGCUCCUUUUGUGUCUCUACAGCCUGAUUAUCACCAUUCUCUACAUUACGCUGAAGAAGCAAGUGAGACAGAAGAAUGCAGACAAGAACGCAGAAUACAUGGAUAUGCGUAAAGUGCCCCCAAUGGCAGCAACUGUCAGAGAUAUGAACCACAACUCUCAUCGGCUUCCUGCUGCCUUCAUGUGAUCCAUCUUCAUAUACUAUCAUGUGUAUGUUUACAUCAUGCAGCCUGUGAUGUAUUCACCUCAUCAAGGAGAUUCAGAAGAGCCAGUCACAUCCACACAAGCCUCACUGCUGUAAAGACACAAAAUGAAGAAGUAUAUAUAACACACUUCAGACAUAACUGUCAAUAAAGGCAGGAAUAUAAAUAACA